GAUGAACGCUGGCGGCGUGCCUAAUACAUGCAAGUCGAGCGAACAGAUAAGGAGCUUGCUCCUUUGACGUUAGCGGCGGACGGGUGAGUAACACGUGGGUAACCUACCUAUAAGACUGGGAUAACUUCGGGAAACCGGAGCUAAUACCGGAUAACAUUUGGAACCGCAUGGUUCUAAAGUGAAAGAUGGUUUUGCUAUCACUUAUAGAUGGACCCGCGCCGUAUUAGCUAGUUGGUAAGGUAACGGCUUACCAAGGCGACGAUACGUAGCCGACCUGAGAGGGUGAUCGGCCACACUGGAACUGAGACACGGUCCAGACUCCUACGGGAGGCAGCAGUAGGGAAUCUUCCGCAAUGGGCGAAAGCCUGACGGAGCAACGCCGCGUGAGUGAUGAAGGGUUUCGGCUCGUAAAACUCUGUUAUUAGGGAAGAACAAAUGUGUAAGUAACUGUGCACAUCUUGACGGUACCUAAUCAGAAAGCCACGGCUAACUACGUG
rnacentral:rRNA from 1 species